UAACACGUAGGAGACUAGCGUUAUCCGGAUUUACUGGGCGUAAAGCGCGUGCAGGUGGCUCGGAAAGUUCGAUGUGAAAGCUCCCGGCUUAACUGGGAGAGGUCGUUGAAUACUUUCGGGCUAGAGGAUGGGAGAGGGAGGCGGAAUUCCGGGUGUAGUGGUGAAAUGCGUAGAUAUCCGGAGGAACACCAGUGGCGAAAGCGGCCUCCUGGCCCAUUUCUGACACUCAGACGCGAAAGCUAGGGUAGCAAACGGG
rnacentral:rRNA from 1 species